AUCAUCACCUCUCUCUCUCCUCCCUCCCAACCGUCCCCCAUCUCUCUCUCUCCAUCUUCAAACCUUCAAACUCUUGUUCUUCAUGUUCAUCACUAUUUCUAACAACCUUCAAGUGGUGUGAAGAUUCAAGGGUGAUCUCAAGGUGUUCUCUAGUGAUUCAAGCUUCCCAUCAUCUUCACUAGAAUUUCUACCCUAGCUUUGUGCUAGUAGUUGUCGUGUAGCGGACAGGGUUUGAGAUUCGAUUCAAGACGCACUACUGAGCUGUUGCUUAGGAUGUUCGUGACACACUAGGGCGGGCCUAUGCCUUAGAGACUAAAAUAAAGAUGGAACCAGUUUAAUUAUGUGAUGAACACUUUGUUUCAGCUAAUUUAAGACUAUGUAACCUUUGCUUGAUGAAGGGCCGUCGCUCAACGGAUAAAAGUUACUCUAGGGAUAACAGGCUGAUCUUCAGAGACUACGAGUGUAAUAGGAG